rnacentral:tRNA from 1 species
AGAGAGGCUCGCAGCAAUAUAAGCCUGCUAAUUUUUGAUUCUUUGGUUGGACUCCAAAGCUCACUCGA